rnacentral:lncRNA from 1 species
UUUAGAGGAAGACAUGAACUCACCUAUACAGAAGCUGCCUUCCAUGUCAGGAUGUCCUGCUGUCCACAUGGAGACUGGAGGCCACGUGGCAGAAAACUGAUGUGUCCCAGCUGAGAGACAAGACCAACUGCCAGAUGUUGGAAUGAAGUCCCCUUCAUGUCAUAGCCCAAACUGAACUCUCAACUAAAUGCAGCAAUCAUAAGUGAAAUCUCAAGCCAGACACCAGAGAUAUGAAGUUAAAAAUAAACCACAUUAUGUUUAUAGGCCUUAGGUCAAAGGUUCAUCUCAUCCUGAAAAGUCAGAAAGGACCCAGGUGGUGAGGGGUGAGGCAAGGGAGGUCAUCACCCCGUACCCACGCC